GACGAACGCUGGCGGCGUGCUUAACACAUGCAAGUCGAACGGAAAGGCCCUGCUUUUGUGGGGUGCUCGAGUGGCGAACGGGUGAGUAACACGUGAGUAACCUGCCCUUGACUUUGGGAUAACUUCAGGAAACUGGGGCUAAUACCGGAUAGGAGCUCCUGCUGCAUGGUGGGGGUUGGAAAGUUUCGGCGGUUGGGGAUGGACUCGCGGCUUAUCAGCUUGUUGGUGGGGUAGUGGCUUACCAAGGCUUUGACGGGUAGCCGGCCUGAGAGGGUGACCGGCCACAUUGGAACUGAGAUACGGCCCAGACUCCUACGGGAGGCAGCAGUGGGGAAUAUUGCACAAUGGGCGGAAGCCUGAUGCAGCAACGCCGCGUGCGGGAUGACGGCCUUCGGGUUGUAAACCGCUUUCGCCUGUGACGAAGCGUGAGUGACGGUAAUGGGUAAAGAAGCACCGGCUAACUACGU
rnacentral:rRNA from 1 species